rnacentral:misc_RNA from 1 species
UUUUAUUUUUAUGUUUUUUAAUAUUGGUGUUUUUGAAUGGGUUGUUUAAAUAACAUAAAAAAUAAAAUAUAUAUUGACAUGCAUUAAACAAAGAUAUAUAUUAUUUUAUGUUGUAUAAAUAAAUUGGCAAAAUAGAGAUGGAAGAUAAAAAUAAAAACC